GGAAUAUAAGAACCCGUAUCUUAACUUUUAACUUAAAAAAAAACUAAGAACUGAUUCUUAAAUAAGAGUUUUAAGAGCCGGUUCUUAACUUUUUUAGUUAAAGGUUAAGAGACAGAUUUUUAUAUUCC
rfam:Brassica napus, WGS project CCCW01000000 data, contig: 25455